UACGUAGGGACCGAGCGUUGUCCGGAAUCAUUGGGCGUAAAGAGCGUGUAGGCGGCUUGCUAAGUCUUGCGUGAAAUCUCGGGGCUCAACCCCGAGCGGUCGUGAGAAACUGGCAGGCUAGAGUGCGGGAGAGGAGAGUGGAAUUCCUGGUGUAGCGGUGAAAUGCGCAGAUAUCAGGAAGAACACCCGUGGCGAAGGCGGCUCUCUGGAACGCAGCUGACGCUGAGACGCGAAAGCGUGAGGAGCAAACAGG
rnacentral:rRNA from 1 species